UUCCACGGCAGCUCUUGUAGGAUGGAAAUUGUGUAUAGAAAUUAAUGAAGAUAAGAGAUAAGAAAGUGGGUGUCUGUCUACAUGUCCUUUGAUUUGAUUUUUGUCGGUAGAUAUUUGUAUUGGGUCGGUUGAAAUGGUUUAUUUAUAUGGGCAUUUGUUUGGUGAAGAAGAGAUAGAAAAAUUGAGGAAAAACAAUACAGAGAGAGUUUUUGAGGACAGAGAUGCCGAGAGGGCCGAGAUGGACAGACUAUGAGAAUUUUUGGUGCUUAGAUUAUCCAUGACUUAUUUUACAGUUUUCAGGUACCGAGGAUAAACUUGGAUUGCAAGUUCUGGGAUUAGGUGGAAGAGUAGGAGUUAAGGAAUUAAAUUAUUUUAUUUAGAGAUUUUUAUGUAUUUAUUUGAGGAAAUUGAUUUAGUAUCAAUUUAAUUUAUUUGGAGACAUUGUAUAUUUUUAAAUUGAGGAAUUGAUUCAGUAUCAAUAAAGAAGUAUUUAUUUUAUUUUUGAGAUCCUGGGUGUGUAUUUAAGUAUUUUGAUUUAAUGAAAUUAAGGAUUUUAUUUAGAAAAAAAUUCGAGGCGUUACAGAAUGGUAUCAGAGCCUGUACUCAGCCGGAAGUGCGAGUUUAGUGAUGAUUUUGUCGGGUGUGUGUGGGUGAGUGUUUAGUUCUGAUUAGCUGUCGCUCGUAACCGGGUGUGUGUGUCUGGAUGUCGUUCACUGGCAGCUACUAGGAUGAUUACUAUCGGUGAUUAGGGGCAGGUGCCCCUAGAUCACUAUCGGUUUUAUUUUGUAGGCGGGUGACGGCAUCGUCUAGGUACCACAACGGUUACAGAGUGUGUGGGCGGGUAAAUAGCACUGUCAGCUACCACAAUAUUUUUCAUGUCACUGAAUUUUGCAUGACGUGGGGUAAGGAUUUUUGGAUUUGAUUUUACCACUUUUUAUGUUUUCAGGUAUACAAAAAUUUUUGGAUCUGAAUUUGGGGACGAAAUUCUUUUUAAGUGGUGGAGAAUGUGACAACCCGAAUUUUUUAGUGUUGAAAUUACAUUUAUUUUAUGAUUUUUAGUUGUGUGAAACUGAUUGUUUAAUUUUAAUUGGAGAUUUACCAAUUAGAGAUUGGAUUAUGAUAUUUCAAUUUAUUUAAUUUGAGUUUUUAUCUGUUACAUGGCAGCAAAAUUGAAAAGGAAAUAAAAUGACUAAAGGAUUUUGUUUUUUUGAAAACAUAUAUAUGAUAUAUAUGUAUAUUAUGUAAACUGAUAGGAGUAAGGAGCAGGUACGAAAAUUGGAAGCAAAUAUGGGUUUUGAAUUUGUGAUGGUGGGCGGGUCCCACUUGAGAGCAUUAAUGGAUUGAAUUAGUGUUUUUGUUACAUAUUAUAUAUAUAUAUAUAUAUAUAUAUAUAUAUAUAUAUAUAAUAUUGGUGGACAACCAACUGGUAGCUGAGAGAGAAGAAGGAAAAAGAAAUAAAAGAAAAAAAGAAAAGAAAGAAAGAAAUGGAAGGAAUGUGGUGGCAGAGCUAGUGAAGAUUUUAAUUUGUUACAUUAUAUAUGUGUAUAUAUUUUUAUGGUGAAGGAAUAAAAUAAGGGGCCAGCCGACAUGGGUAAGGAAAGAGAGAAUUGGUGAUGAAUUGAGGUAAUAAUUCGUGGGACCCACUUGGAUUGGUUGUUUGGCCAAAACAAAAGUCUUUGACUUGGUUUUUGCACGGCUGCUCUUGUAGGAUAGAAAUUGUGUAUAGAAAUUAAUGAAGAUAGGAGAUAAGAAAGUGGGUGUCUAUCUACAUGUCCUUUGAUUUGAUUUUUGUCGGUAGAUAUUUUUAUUGGGUCGGUUGAAAUGGUCUACUUAUAUGGGCAUUUGUUUAGUGAAGAAGAGAUAGAAAAAUUGAGGAAAAACAAUACAGAGAGAGUUUUUGAGGACAGAGAUGCCGAGAGGGCCGAGAUGGACAGACUAUGAAAAUUUUUGGUGCUCAGAUUAUCUAUGAUUUAUUUUACACUGUAGGGUUCUUUAUACCUUGAAAUGUCUGGGUACUGAGGAUAAACUUGGAUUGCUAGUUUCGGGAUUAGGUGGAAAAGUAGGAGUUAAGGAAUUAAAUUAUUUUAUUUAGAGAUUUUUAUGUAUUUAUUUGAGGAAAUUGAUUUAGUAUCAAUUUAAUUUUUUUGGAGACAUUGUAUAUUUUUAAAUUGAGGAAUUGAUUCAGUAUCAAUAGAGAAGUAUUUAUUUUAUUUUUGAGAUCCUGGGUGUGAAUUUAAGUAUUUUGAUUUAAUGAAAUUGAGGAUUUUAUUUAGAAAAAAAUUCGGGACGUUAUAGAAUGGUAUCAUAGUCUGUACUCAGCCGGAAGUGUGAGUUUAGUGAUGAUGUUGUCGGGUGUGUGUGGGUUGAGUGUUUAGUUCUGACUAGCUGCCACUCGUAACUGGGUGUGUGUCUGGAUGUCGUUCACUGGUAGCUACUAGGAUGAUUACUAUCGGUGAUUUGGGGCAGGUGUCCCUAGAUCACUAUCGGUUUUAUUUUGUGGGCGGGUGACAGCAUUGUCUUGUUACCACAACGGUUACAGAGUGUGUGGGCGGGUAAAUAGCACUGUCAGCUACCACAAUAUUUUUCAUGUCACUGAAUUUUGCAUCGCCUGGGGGAAGGAUUUUUGGAUUUGAUUUUACCACUUUUGAUGUUUUCAAGUAUACAAAAAUUUUUGGAUCUGAAUUUUGGGACGAAAUUCUUUUUAAGUGGUGGAGAAUGUGACAACCCGGAUUUUUUAGUGUAGAAAUUAUAUUUAUUUUAUGAUUUUUAAUUGUGUGAAACUGAUUGUUUAAUUUUAAUUGGAGACUUACCAAUUAGAGAUUGGAUUAUGAUAUUUCAAUUUAUUUAAUUUGAGUUUUUAUUUGUUACAUGCCAGCAAAAUUGAAGAGGAAAUAAAAUGACUAAAGGAUUUUGAUUUUUUGAAAACAUAUAUAUGAUAUAUAUGUAUAUUAUGUAAACUGAUGGGAGUAACAAAUAUGGGUUUUGAUUUUGUGAUAGAGGGCGGGUCCCACUUGAGAGCAUUAAUGGAUUGAAUUAGUGUUUUUGUUACAUAUUAUAUAUAUAUAUAUAUAUAUAUAUGUAAUGUUGGUGGACAACCAACUGGUAGCCGAGAGAGAAGAAGGAAAAAGAAAUAAAAGAAAAAAAAAAGAAGAAGAAAGAAAUGGAAGGAAAGUGGUGGCGGUGCUAGUGGAGAUUUUAAUUUGUUACAUUAUAUAUAUGUAUAUAUUUUUGUGGUGAAGGAAUAAAAGAAGGGGCCAGCCAAAAUGGGUAAGGAAAGAGAGAAUUGAUGAUGAAUUGAGGUAAUAAUUCGUGGUACCCACUUGGAUUGUUCGUUUGGCCAAAACAAAAGUCUUUGACUUGGUUUUUGCACGGCUGCUCUUGUAGGAAAGAAAUUGUGCAUAGAAAUUAAUGAAGAUAAGAGAUAAGAAAGUGGGUGUCUGUCUACAUGUCCUUUGAUUUGAUUUUUGUCGGUAGAUAUCUGUAUUGGGUCGGUUGAAAUGGUCUAUUUAUAUGGUUAUUUGUUUGGUGAAGAAGGGAUAGAAAAAUUGAGGAAAAACAAUACAGAGAGAGUUUUUGAGGACAGAGAUGCCGAGAGGGCCGAGAUGGAUAGACUAUGAGAAUUUUUGGUGCUCAGAUUAUCCAUGAUUUAUUUUACAGUGUAGGGUUCUUUAUACCUUGAAUUGCUUGGGUGAUUUUAUCUCAAAUAUUUUGUUAAUGCUGUUUUGUUAAAUUGCAUAUAUAUAUAUAUAUAUAAUUUUUUUUUUUUUGUUGAAAAAUAUAUUUAUAUUUUGUGAACUAAUUUUUAUGAAACCUCUUUGAGAUUCUUGUUAUGGUUUUUCCUACUAGGACUUUCCCCGUUUCACCCCCCUACUGUUUUAGGUACCGAGGAUAAACUUGGAUUGUUAGUGCGGGAUUAGGUGAAAGAAUAGGAGUUAAGGAAUUAAAUUAUUUUAUUUAGAGAUUUUUAUGUAUUUAUUUGAGGAAAUUGAUUUAGUAUCAAUUUAAUUUAUUUGGAGACAUUGUAUAUUUUUAAAUUGAGGAAUUGAUUCAGUAUCAAUAAAGAAGUAUUUAUUUUAGUUUUGAGAUCCUAGGUGUGUAUUUAAGUAUUUUGAUUUAAUGAAAUCGAGAAUUUUAUUUAGAAAAAAAUUCGGGGCGCUACAGAAUGGUAUCAGAGCCUGUACUCAGCCGGAAGUGUGAGUUUAGUGAUGAUGUUGUCGGGUGUGUGUGGGUGAGUGUUUAGUUUUUGACUGUCCGCCGCUCGUAAUCGGGUGUGUGUGUCCGGAUGUCAUUCACUGGCAGCUACUAGGAUGAUUACUAUCGGUGAUUAGGGGCAGGUGUCCUUAGAUCACUAUCGGUUUUAUUUUGUGGGCGGGUGACGGCAUCGUCUAGUUACCACAACGGUUAAGAAGUGUGUGGGCGGGUAAAUAGCACUGUCAGCUACCACAAUAUUUUUCAUGUCACUAAAUUUUGCAUCGCCUGGGGUAAGCAUUUUUGGAUUUGAUUUUACCACUUUUGUUGUUUUCAGGUAUACAAAAAUUUUUGGAUCUGAAUUUUGGGUCGAAAUUCUUUUUAAGUGGUGGAGAAUGUGACAAUCUGGUUUUUUUAGUGUUGAAAUUAUAGUUAUUUUAUGAUUUUUAGUUGUGUGAAACUGAUUGUUUAAUUUCAAUUGGAGACUUACCAAUUAGAGAUUGGAUUAUGAUAUUUCAAUUUAUUUAAUUUGAGUUUUUAUUUGUUACAUGGCAGCAAAAUUGAAGAGGAAAUAAAAUGAUUAAAGGAUUUUGUUUUUUUGAAAACAUAUAUAUGAUAUAUAUGUAUAUUGUGUAAACUGGUGGGAGUAAGGAGCAGGUACGAAAAUUGGAAGCAAAUAUGGGUUUUGAUUUUGUGAUGGUGGGCGGGUCCCACUUGAGAGCAUUAAUGGAUUGAAUUAGUGUUUUUGUUACAUAUACAUAUACAUAUAUAUAUAUAUGUAAUGUUGGUCGACAACCAACUGGUAGCCUAAAGAGAAGAAGGUAAAAGAAAUAAAGAAAAAAAGAAAAGAAAGAAAGAAAUGGAAGGAGAGUGGUGGCGGACCUAGUGGAGAUUUUAAUUUGUUGCAUUAUAUCUGUGUAUAUAUUUUUAUGGUGAAGGAAUAAAAGAAGGGGCCAGCCGACAUGGGUAAGGAAAGAGAGAAUUGGUGAUGAAUUGAGGUAAUAAUUCGAGGGGCCCACCUGGAUUGUUUGUUUGGCCAAAACAAAAGUCUUUGACUUGGUUUUUGCACGGCUGCUCUUGUGGGAUAGAAAUUGUGUGUAGAAAUUAAUGAAAAUAAGAGAUAAGAAGGUGGGUGUCUGUCUACAUGUCCUUUGAUUUGAUUUUCGUCGGUAGAUAUUUGUAUUGGGUCGGUUGAAAUGGUCUAUUUAUAUGGGCAUUUGUUUGGUGAAGAAGAGAUAGAAAAAUUGUGGAAAAACAAUACAGAGGGAGUUUUUGAGGACAGAGAUGCCGAGAGGGCCGAGAUGGACAGACUAUGAGAAUUUUUGGUGCUUAGAAUAUCCAGGAUUUAUUUUACAGUGUAGGGUUCUUUAUACCUUGAAUUGUCUGGGUGAUUUUAUCUCAAAUAUUUUGUUAAUGCUGUUUUGUUAAAUUGCAUAUAUAUAUAUAUAUAUAUAUAUAUAUAUAUAUAUUUUAUUCAAAAAUAGGUUUAUAUUUUGUGAACUAAUUUUUAUGAAACCUCUUUAAGAUUCUUGUUAUGGUUUUUCCUACUGGGAUUUCCCCCGCCUCGCCCCCCUACAAUUUCAGGUACCGAGGAUAAACUUGGAUUGCUAGUUGCGGGAUUAGUUGGAAGUGUAGGAGUUAAGGAAUUAAAUUAUUUUAUUUAUAGAUUUUUAUGUAUUUAUUUGAGGAAAUUGAUUUAGUAUCAAUUUAAUUUAUUUGGAGACAUUGUACAUUUUUAAAUUAAGGAAUUGAUUCAGUAUCAAUAAAGAAGUAUUUAUUUUAUUUUUGAGAUCCUGGGUGUGUACUUAAGUAUUUUGAUUUAAUGAAAUCGAGGAUUUUAUUUAGAAAAAAAUUUGGGCCGCUACAGAAUGGUAUCAGAGCCUGUACUCAGCUGGAAGUGUUUAGUGAUGAUGUUGUCGGGUGAGUGUUUAGUUCUGACUAGCUGCCGCUCGUAACCGGGUGUGUGUGUCCGGAUGUCGUUCACUGGCAGCUACUAGGAUGAUUACUAUCGGUGAUUAGGGGAAGGUGUCCCUAGAUCACUAUCGGUUUUAUUUUGUGGGUGGGUGAUGGCAUCGUCUAGUUACCACAACGGUUACGGAGUGUGUGGGCGAGUAAAUAGCACUGUCAGCUACCACAAUAUUUUUCAUGUCACAGAAUUUUGCAUCGCUUGGGGUAAGGAUUUUUGGAUAUGAUUUUACCACUUUUGAUGUUUUCAGGUAUACAAAAAUUUUUGGAUCUGAAUUUUGGGACGAAAUUUUUUUUAAGUGGUGGAGGAUGUGACAACCCGAAUUUUUUAGUGUUGAAAUUAUAUUUAUUUUAAUAUUUUUAGUUGUGUGAAACUGAUUGUUUAAUCUUAAUUGGAGACUUACCAAUUAUAGAUUGGAUUAUGAUAUUUCAAUUUAUUUAAUUUGAGUUUUUAUUUGUUACAUGGCAGCAAAAUUGAAGAGGAAAUAAAAUGAUUAAAGGAUUUUGUUUUUUUGAAAACAUAUAUAUGAUAUAUAUGUAUAUUAUGUAAACUGCUGGGAGUAAGGAGCAGGUACGAAAAUUGGAAGCAAAUAUGGGUUUUGAUUUUGUGAUAGUGGGCAGGUCCCACUUGAGAGCAUUAAUGGAUUGAAUUUGUGUUUUUGUUACAUAUUAUAUAUAUAUAUAUAUAUAUAUAUAUAUAUAUGUAAUGUUAGUGGACAACCAAGUGGUAGCCGAGAGAGAAGAAGGAAAAAGAAAUAAAAGAAAAAAAGAAAAGAAAGAAAGAAAUGGAAGGAAAGUGGUGGCGGACCUAGUGGAGAUUUUAAUUUGUUACAUUAUAUAUGUGUAUAUAUUUUUAUGGUGAAGGAAUAAAAGAAUGGGCCAGCCGACAUGGGUAAGGAAACAGAGAAUUGGUGAUGAAUUGAGGUAAUAAUUCGUGGGACCCACUUGGAUUGUUUGUUUGGCCAAAACAAAAGUUUGACUUGGUUUUUGCACGGCUGCUCUUGUAGGAUAGAAAUUGUGUAUAGAAAUUAAUGAAGAUAAGAGAUAAGAAAGUGGGUGUCUGUCUACAUGUCCUUUGAUUUGAUUUUUUUCGGUAGAUAUUUGUAUUGGGUCGGUUGAAAUAGUCUAUUUAUAUGGGCAUUUGUUUGGUGAAGAAGGGAUAGAAAAAUUGAUGAAAAACAAUAUAGAGAGAGUUGUUGAGGACAGAGAUGCCAAGAGUGCCGAGAUGGACAGACUAUGAGAAUUUUUGGUGCUCAGAUUAUCCAUGAUUUAUUUUAUAGUUUUCAGGUACUGAGGAUAAGCUUGGAUUGCUAGUUGCGGGAUUAGGUGGAAGAGUAGGAGUUGAGGAAUUAAAUUAUGUUAUUUAGAGAUUUUUAUGUAUUUAUUUGAGGAAAUUGAUUCAGUAUCAAUUUAAUUUAUUUGGAGACAUUGUAUAUUUUUAAAUUGAGGAAUUGAUUUAGUAUCAAUAAAGAAGUAUUUAUUUUAUUUUUGA